rnacentral:rRNA from 1 species
GUCCUUUUGUAAAUAAUUUAAGGUCUAACCUGCCCACUGAAAAUUUAAAUGGCCGUGGUAUUUUGACCGUGCUAAGGUAGCAUAAUCAUUAGUUUUUUAAUUAAAAACUGGAAUGAAAGGUUGAAUAAGAAAAUGACUGUCUCUGUUAAAUUAUUAAAAUUUUAUUUUUAAGUUAAAAAGCUUAAUUGAAUUUAAAAGACGAGAAGACCCUAUAGAGUUUAAUUAUUAAAUAAAAAUUAUAUUUUAGUAUUUAUUUAUAUAUUUUAUUUAAUAAUUUAAUUGGGGUGAUUGAAAAAUUUAAUAAACUUUUUUUUAUUUUUUAACAUAAAUUUAUGAAUAAAUGAUCCAAUAUUUUUGAUUAUAAGAUAAAAUUACCUUAGGGAUAACAGCGUAAUUUUUUUAUAGAGUUCAUAUUAAAAGAAAAGAUUGCGACCUCGAUGUUGGAUUAAAAUGAAUUUUUGGUGUAGAAGCUAAAAUAUUGGGUCUGUUCGACCUUUAAAAUUUUAC